rnacentral:lncRNA from 1 species
UUGAUCCAAGCAUAACGAUGUUUAAGCUUAAUUUCAUUAUCACUUUUCUUAUCAUUGCGGUCACUAGUUAAUAUCUAUCUCUAUAUUUCUGUACAUUAUACUUCUACAUUAUGUCUUUUGUUAAUAUGUAUAUAGGUAUAUAGAUGACUUUUUGCACAUAUUUGAAUCCAUAAUAUGCAUGCAUUUGUUUGAUUAUAUGAUGUUUAUAUGUAGAUUUUUCGUAUUACGGUGAUAAUUAUUUGAUAUUAAUAUUUAUGAUGGUGAAAUAUUUCAGUGAAUAUUCCCUUGAUCGCAAAGUAGUUUCAUUAUCGUUAUUUUUAUCAUGACAAUCACUAGUUAGUAUCCAUCUUUGUUUAUCGAUACAUUACACUUAUAAUUGUAUUGUGUUUGUUAAUAUGUAUAUAGAUACAUAGAUGAAUUUGUGCAUAUUUUAUAUGAAUCCAUUAAUAUGUUCCAUUAUAUGAUGUUUAGAUGUGGAGUUUUCUUAUUACGUCGAUGGUUAUUUAAUUAUAAUAAUAUGAUAUUGUGGAAUUUUUCAGUCAAUGUGCCGGGAUUAUCAAAUAAUCAAGUCGUAGCAACACCUGAUGUUGAUCAUGUUCCUGCAGAAUUUACGAAGAGAUUGCUCCCACAACUGAAUACUUGUUUGAGAUCUUGUACCUCGAACUUUGACUGCAGUGAUUGUUGGGUUUGUUGUGCUUGUAAAUACGCGGUGAUAGGUGGCUACACAUGUGACUUGAGCCGGUAGUGUCGAGUGGCAAAAGCUCUAAUACAAAUUCCUAUGUGUUCUUGUGAUUUUAACGUUUUUAUUUGUCUUUUUCUCAUUUCUUUGUCUUUUGUGCUUUGUAGAAGUAAUAAAAGAAGUCAUGAAUGACUUUCUAUUUCGAUACAAUAAUCGAUAAAUGUAUCUUUUGUACGUUGUAA